ensembl:lncRNA
GUAGGAGGAGCAGGUUAAAGCAAACCGUAAAGCUGCUAGUGUACCUCACUUUGCAGUUUACCCACUAGCUCGAGGGAAAUUUCAUCCCUUUGGAGAAUAUGCAUUGUAUGUUGAGCUCGUAGCAUAGAGUAUUCUUUUGCUCUCAUUUCCUAUAAACCACCUACUGCAUUUUUAUGUUCCACAAUCACAUACACCAAAACAGUGUUAAGCAAAUUAGCAUCAAGCUAAAUAAAAGGCAUAUCAACCAACUUAGCAGGCAGCUUUUAGGUGCUUCAGUACCGAGGAUGGUGGGUGAUCCAUAGGUUAAGAUAACUCUAUUUCCCCCAUAUUAUCAUUAUUUGCUUUUAGUAUAAUUGGAUGAAUUUAACAGGAAAAUUAAUUCAUUUUCACAGGUUUUGUCAGUAGCCCUGAUUACUGCAAUGUGAAGGAGAGCUGAUGGAGAAAGGCACUGAUUCAGCACAUCUCCUAGGGCAGCCUACAUGAAUGGAUAUGUGUAGAAAUCCUGUAAUGUGACAGAACUGACCUUCUUCUCUAUUCCUUUGUGAGGUCAGAUUGCUGAGCCUUGUGGAGACCUUCAUGUACGGGACGCUCACUAAAGCCUCUUUUUGUCUGGGGGACAAUUAACAAAAGGGCUGGUGAAGCUUUU